GGAGGUUGGGGACGGAGGUCCUCACGGCAGCGCGCGGCGGAGCCGGCUCAGUCAGAGGAGCACGUGGCCUGAGUAGAUGGCCGAUGGGACGGCGGGAGAGCAAGCGCCAAGCGACAGAUUUGAAGAUGUUUCAAGCCUUGCACGUGGAGGAGGAGAGUUGCAGCAAGAUCCAGUCCCGUUGAUUUCCAAUAUCAAGAAGAGCGCGAGGAAGGAGAGGGAGGCCGGCGCACCACAUGAAGAGAAGGAAAUCAACCAGCAAUAGAAGUUGUCGUGGCUGAUGCUAGAAUAAGUCCUACGACACGUCAAACAUGUCUAAGGCAUCAGCGCACGUCGAGGAGCAUGUGACACACAUAGGGUUGCCUACGACAUGGUUUCUUUGCCUAAGUGUGAGUUGGGCCUGCGUGCUCAUAAUUUGGGCUGAACCCAAUGUUUUGGGUCAGUUUGUAUCAAGUUUGGGUUGAACCAAGUUCGAGUCCGAGUCCAAUUAGGUUACUAGACGUCCACCCUCCUAUAUAAGUUGAGGGGCGCCCACGAUUAGGGUUAGACCACGUUUAGAUUAUUCAGAACCUUUCGUUGAACUACUACAAGCAUUCAUCUGAAAUUAUUCCUCUUUGAUUC